CCCUACGGGAUGCAGCAGUGGGGAAUAUUGCACAAUGGGGGAAACCCUGAUGCAGCAACGCCGCGUGAGUGAAGAAGUAUUUCGGUAUGUAAAGCUCUAUCCGCAGGGAAGAAGAUGACGGUACCUGAUUAAGAAGCCCCGGCUAACUACGUGCCAGCAGCCGCGGUAAUACGUAGGGGGCAAGCGUUAUCCGGAUUUACUGGGUGUAAAGGGAGCGUAGACGGCAUAGCAAGUCUGCAGUGAAAGCCCAAGGCUCAACAAU
rnacentral:rRNA from 1 species